rnacentral:lncRNA from 1 species
GCUAAAGGAGAGCAAUGAUAGAAUGGUGGACGACAGUGAGGAGAUCAAGGGGCAUAUCUUUCAGUUCUUUAGAUCGUGAUGGACAGCACCUUUUGGACAAAGAUACCCCCUCUAGGGGUCUUAGCCCGUGAUCCAUAUCUCUGAUCAAGAGAAUGAGAUCCUGACUCACCCGAUGUCUACUAAGAAGAUACGGAGGGCCCUCUGAUCUCUUGAAGAGAAUAAGGCUAUAGGAUCGAAUGGGUUCCCCCCUCUUUUUCCGUCGGUA